ensembl:lncRNA
CGCCGCGUUCACUUUCGCACACUGGGAUCGGCGACGGAGGCGUCGCCUGCCGCGUUCGAUUUCGCGUUCACCGGCGUGCUGACGAGCGUACCCUGGGAAACGGCGUACCUCAGCAAGACGCCGGUCAACGCGAAAGUGAACGCGGCAGCGGCAGCGGCGUGCGGCGCGCAACGGUGCACCCGGUGAACCGCGCAAGGACUUCCUCGUUUAAAGGAACCCGGGCGCCCUCGAACAACUGCGACACAAAACCCCGCCGAAGCGUUCAAGUUUCGACCCGUUUCAUCGUUCCAGUGCCUUGGGGACAAGUUCACGGACUUUCUCUACUCCGGGCGAGGAAACGACAACAACAGGGACAUCGAGGCAACGGUGACGAACGGAGGCAGCACGUAGAAUCUUCUGUCUGCCUAAACAACUUGCCUGCCUGCCUUCCUGCCUGUCUGUCUGCCUGUCUGUCUGCUCUCCCAUCCGUUUGACUUUCUGUCUCUCUGCCUGUCUACAUGCAUGCAAACACAUCAAGGCAAUCAUCCCUCAUGAAUCCCGACUGGUCUCACACGCAGACCCUGUGUUCCACAUGCAGCGGGACCUAGUGCCUCAUGGGAAGUAGUGUUGUGUGUUGAUGUUGUGUGUGUGUGUGUUUGUGUUUAAGUGUGUUUGUGCGUAGGUGUGUGUGUUUGCAUGUGUUUGUGCGCGUGUGUGUGCAGACGUGUUUAUGUGGGUGUGGGUGUGCGUGCU